rnacentral:rRNA from 1 species
GACGAACGCUGGCGGCGUGCCUAAUACAUGCAAGUCGAACGCUGAAGAGUGGUGCUUUCUCUUCUUGGAUGAGAUGCGAACGGGUGAGUAACGCGUAGGUACCCUGCCUUGUAGCGAGGGAUCAAUAUCUGAACUGAUAGCUCAUACCGCAUAACAAUGGAUGCCACAUGUCGUUUAUUUGAAAGGGGCAAUUGCUCCACUACAAGAUGGACCUGCGUUGUAUUAGCUAGUAGGUGGGGUAAUGGCUUACCUAGGCGACGGUACAUAGCCGACCUGAGAGGGUGAUCGGCCACACUGGGACUGAGACACGGCCCAGACGCCUGCGGGGGGGAGCAGGAGGGAAUCUUCGGCAAUGGGGGCAAACCUGAACGAACAACGCCGCGGGAGAGAAGGAGGUUUUCGGAUCGUAAAGCUGUGUUGUUAGGCAAGGACGAGUGUGUGGGUGAAAAGUUCACACUGUGACGGUAGCGUACGAGAAAGGGACGGCUAACUACGUG